CAAUUCUACAUACACCCGUCUCUCUAUCCCCACGAGAACACGAACCAUCCCGGCCACCCGGCGCUAGGGUUCCCUCCGCCGCCGCGCCCCAUCCCUCCGCUCCCAGCAACCCUCUCCACCCUCUCCCAUCCCCAGUCGUCGUCGUAGCCCCUCGCCGCCGUUCGAUAUCCAAGACGGAGCCUCGGCCGACAGCUCCUUGGAGCACGCCGCCCGCCGGUGGAUGCCCUGAUUCUACGCGACCCCGCCGGAGACUCACCUCGCCACCUUGGCGCCUCCUGCAGGAUCUCCGUCACCGCCUAGCGCUUCUGUGCGCAAGGAUGCCGACGCCUCUCCCUGGCCCUCCUGGCGGACAGCCUCCAGCCCACACAAGCUUCCCUGUUCUGGCUUUGUCGGCUACCAUGGUUGAGUAGAGCAAGGAGAUCGAGAGGGGAAAUAGUCACUUGAUUUUUGCGGAUUAUGUUGGGCAUGGAGAUUGAUCUUAACUUUUUGGUUGUCCGCAGAUUCAAUGAUGACAACACGCACACCUUUCCCUGAUGCUUGGGCAAAGGCAUGUAUGUCCGAUGUGCAGGCAAAACUUUAUAGAUGCAGAUUACAUACAUUAGAAAUUGCCAACUCGGUGGAUGAUAAAUACUAUGACUUGGGACUCAGAAAAAAGAUCAACACGUAGAUGCAGAUUACAUAGAUCAGGACUUGCUAACUCGGCGUAUGACACAUACUAAACGACAUCAACACGUAGGUAUGAGAGUUUGGAAUAUCCAACAUUUGCUAACUACUUUUUAAUUGCUUCGUCCUCUACCUGCAAUUACAACUUCAGUGUGCUUGAUUUUCAAUUAGCCAAGUGCAUUUGUUGGUUUUAGUUCUUUUCUAUAUACAAUUAAUUAUCAAUAGGUUUGAUGAUACUUCAGAACAACAUGUCAAUGUUAGAGGCUUAUUUUAUUUCACUGUUCAAGAAGGCGCUAUUAGGCGCUCGCCUAGGCGCGCUUAAGCGCUGGGCGUUGGCAUAGCGCCUCGCUUUGGCCCUAGGCGCUCAAAAAAGCGGCCGGCGAGGUCCUCCGGCGAGAAAUCAGCCUCUCCGGCGAGGAAUCAGCUUUCUGAGGUGAGAAAUCAGUCUCCCCGGCGAGGAUUCGACCUCCCCUGCGAGGAUUCAUCCUCGCCGACGAGGGAUUCAACUGCCCCGACGACAAAUCGAGCUUCUCCGGCGAGGGAUUGAGCUUCUCCGGCGAGGGAUCAAGCUUCUCCGACAAGGGACAGAGGAAGAGGGAGGGAGUCAGCCUCGUGCAACAAGACAGAAAGGACGAGGGGGGGAGGCGGCGUGAGGAGGAAACCUAAAUUUCCUAUCGACUGCAGCAGACGAGAGCUUUUAGUAGGAGGAUAUGAAGAUGGGCCUAUGGUUUAGUGGGCUAGCCCAGCCCAUCUAGCUUAUUUCUUCACGUUACAGUACUAACGCCUAAUUGCGCCUAAUUUCGCCUAAUCACGCCUAAGCUAGAAAAGCGCAAGUAGGUGCCCAAACGCAUAAUUAGCGCCUAGCGCUUUUUUGAGCUUUGUUUUAUUUUAUUUGGACUAGCAGUUUUUGUUCUGCCAAUAGAAAAAAUCAAUGAGGGAUUUCCCCAGUUUUUUUUUCUCAUGUUGUUUUGACCAUGAUGUACCAGAUUUUCAAUGUGGAAAACAAUUAGAAUUGCACUUUUCAGGGGAUGUACUUUAGUUGGUGUGCAUGCCUUGGUUCAUUGUUGCCUAGACGAGCUAGAGAAUUUUUGCUGUGAGAAAAUGUAUGGACGUUUGAUGAUUAGAGUUAAGAAAAUAUUAUGAUAACAUGGUUUGGCUUAAUACACUAGGUUGUUCGCUACCUUGAGGAGCUCGAGAAACUUAUUGAAGUGCUCAUAUUUUAAUUAUAAGUUUUGAUUCUUAUGUUGGAGACAUGACUAUGCAAGGAAGUGGUGAGAGAAUUUUGCAGUAGCUUUAUAGUGAUGUUUAGAUAAUUACCAUUUAGAUUAACAAAGAAAACAACUGGGAGCUGCUUUUAGAAUUUCAUUUAUUAUUUGUUAGACCAUGAUCAUCUGCCGAUAAUUAUUUUCCUCAAUAGUUUUUCCUUUAUUACUGUUAUUUUCAUGGCAUUUCAAUUGAUGCACCCUAAUCUAAUAUCUACAAACUUCAUUUACUCAACACAAUUGAUUGUUGCUGAUGUAGGUGAGACCAUUGACUAUUAGAGGUGAGUCGGCAAGCUGUUUUCUUCUAUGGUUUGGCAUGUAACUUUGUGUUCUCUAGCUCUUUUUAGUUUUAUAUUUUUCUAACAAACAAGACCAACCUUAACUUAAGAAGAAAAGCAUCAUUAUAACCAUGAAAAAAAACUGCUUAAAUGUAAGGCAUUUGUUCGUCUAUUAAGUCAUUACCCUUCUAAACGAGACACGGAAAUGAUGAAUUCUUACAUGGUAAGUUUUUGUUUCAUUUUCAUUCUUUGCCUUAUCCCGUGUUGGAAAAGAAGUUCAAUUGUUUUUUUCCUCACAAUGUACCAAAGAUUCUGAUGAAAGAUGCUUAUUUUUCUCUCAGCUUCAAGAAACAGUCACUAUAUACUCUGUUUUGUAUAUAUUAUGUAGUUGUAAGGAGAUGUUUUAUUUUCUUUAUAUGCUACUAUUUUAACAUCUUGGAGGAGUCCUGAAUUUAUUGGAGACAACAAAGUGGGCGCACCAUGUGAGUUAUUUGUCACCUUGAUGCAGCAAAUCAACACAUGUUUGAGCUACAAUUGAGGUCACUUAAAUAAAUGUAACGUGAUUUACCCCUUUAUUUCUUUAUCUCGAGAGACAAUGUAGAUAUAUGCAUGUGUUUACAUUUGUUGUGGUUGCAUGUAUCCUUGACUUUUGUUAGGCUGGGGACAAGCGUAUCAAUUUGUAUAAUGCUAAUAAUGUUGUCACAUAAUAGUGUAAUGUAUGUGUUAUUGUGAUGUUAUCCAGUCAAACUCUUUAGAAAACAAUGGUCGCCGCAAGAAGUUGGCUGCGGUGAUUGUUGAAUAUAGAUGGGAGCUUCUUUGAGGAAAGCCAAAUAAGCGGCUGGGGAUGUAUCUCGCGGGACUUGAUGGUUACAGUUUGGGGAGUAGCAGAGUUGCUUGCUAGCAUCUUUUUUUCUUGCAUCUAUGAACUGAUGAUGCUUUACUUGUUGUUGUUUCCCGUGGUACUACAUUAUGGCUCACUGUUGUUUAUGCUCGGACAUCAGCAGAGGAAUAGACUCGGCAAGGAAGGGAGCUACUCCAGUGUAGUCGGUGGAAUUGACUGGCAAAGUAAAUCAUGAAGCUCCUGGUUGGACCAAGAGGCUGAGAAUUGGGGCUGCACCUCCUACAACAGUCAGUUUCGUUGGUGGCCUGCCAACAACACUGGUGAAGGAAUAAGGGUGGCCCGAGACCGAUAACAGGGGGCUCUUGAACUGGCAAAGCCAGAAACCACCAUCGCUUCAUUGUCCCCGGAGAUCGUUUGGUGAUGUCCGAUGGAUAUCACGUGACGGAGUGGAGACGCACACUCCCCUGCCCCAAAUUUGGUGCCGCCACCUACCAAUGCGGGGCACAGUCCUGCCUGACCCAGCCUACAUCUUGAUUGUAAAUUUCUCUCACCUUCUAUCUCGUGUUCAUGUGGCCGUAUUGAUUUUGCCUUUAGAGAAGUGUUGAAAGAAGAUUAUGUGCUUCAGACGACUGAAUGUCCAGUAAUAUCAUCAACCUUCAGCCAACAGCGGCUCCGAACUCUAUCACCUCAAAUGGUUUAGCAUAGAUCAGUCACAUGUGAGGAUGAAAGCUUGGAUCAGCUUCUGUAGUCGCUAUCUUUCAUUUACUACCGAGUUUUCUUAUGGUUAUAGGAUAGAAACUUUGUAUUAUUUUGCCAUCUUCUUUCCUUCGUGAAACUAGCUGCAGCAAGUAGCAAUUUAAAUUGAUGCGAGAAA